UACGUAGGGCGCAAGCGUUGUCCGGAAUUAUUGGGCGUAAAGAGCUCGUAGGCGGCUUGUCACGUCGAUUGUGAAAGCCCGAGGCUUAACCUCGGGUCUGCAGUCGAUACGGGCUAGCUAGAGUGUGGUAGGGGAGAUCGGAAUUCCUGGUGUAGCGGUGAAGUGCGCAGAUAUCAGGAGGAACACCGGUGGCGAAGGCGGAUCUCUGGGCCAUUACUGACGCUGAGGAGCGAAAGCGUGGGGAGCGAACAGG
rnacentral:rRNA from 1 species